UACGUAGGGGGCAAGCGUUGUCCGGAAUUAUUGGGCGUAAAGAGCGUGUAGGCGGCCAGAUAAGUCCGCUGUGAAAUCUCGAGGCUCAACUUCGAGCUGUCGGUGGAAACUAUCUGGCUAGAGUCCGGAAGAGGAGAAUGGAAUUCCUGGUGUAGCGGUGAAAUGCGCAGAUAUCAGGAAGAACACCGGUGGCGAAGGCGGGUCUCUGGGCCGAUACUGACGCUGAGGAGCGAAAGCGUGGGGAGCGAACAGG
rnacentral:rRNA from 1 species